rnacentral:rRNA from 1 species
CAAUAGCGUAUAUUAAAGUUGUUGCGGUUAAAAAGCUCGUAGUUGGAUUUCUGCUGAGAACGACCGGUCCGCCCUUUGGGUGUGUAUCUGGCUCUUUCUUGGCAUCUUCUUGGUGAACGUUGCUGCACUUGACUGUGUGGAGCGCUACCCAGGACUUUUACUUUGAGGAAAUUAGAGUGUUUCAAGCAGGCAUACGCCUUGAAUACAUUAGCAUGGAAUAAUAAGAUAGGACCUCGGUUCUAUUUUGUUGGUUUCUAGAGCUGAGGUAAUGAUUAAUAGGGAUAGUUGGGGGCAUUCGUAUUUCAACGUCAGAGGUGAAAUUCUUAGAUCGUUGAAAGAUGAGCUUAGGCGAAAGCAUUUACCAUGGAUGUUUUCAUUAA